rnacentral:rRNA from 1 species
AAAUGACUCUCGGCAACGGAUAUCUCGGCUCUUGCAUCGAUGAAGAACGUAGCGAAAUGCGAUACUUGGUGUGAAUUGCAGAAUCCCGUGAACCAUCGAGUCUUUGAACGCAAGUUGCGCCUGAAGCCAGUAGGCCAAGGGCACGCCUGCCUGGGCGUCACA